UGAUCCUUUAACACAGCCCCGUGAGGUUGAGAAGGUAACGGUUUGAAAUACUUAGGGUAUACUUAUACCCUUUUUUUCAAAAGUCCUCUCGCACACGCUGAGAGGACUUUUUUUAU
rfam:Bacillus gaemokensis strain JCM 15801 contig1, whole genome shotgun sequence.